rnacentral:rRNA from 1 species
GAUGAACGCUGGCGGCGUGCCUAACACAUGCAAGUCGAGCGAGAAGCUCAUCACAGAUGCUUCGGUUGAAGUGAUGAGUGGAAAGCGGCGGACGGGUGAGUAACGCGUAGGCAACCUGCCCUUUGCAGAGGGAUAGCCUCGGGAAACCGGGAUUAAAACCUCAUGACACCUCUUAAAGACAUCUUUGAGAGGUCAAAGAUUUAUCGGCAGAGGAUAGGCCUGCGUCUGAUUAGCUAGUUGGUGGGGUAACGGCCGACCAAGGCGACGAUCAGUAGCCGACCUGAGAGGGUGAUCGGCCAAAUUGGAACUGAGACACGGUCCAAACUCCUACGAGGGGCAGCAGUGGGGAAUAUUGCACAAUGGGGGAAACCCUGAUGCGGCAACGCCGCGUGAAGGAAGAAGGCCUUUGGGUCGUAAACUUCUGUUCUAAGGGAAGAUGAUGACGGUACCUUAGGAGCAAGUCCCGGCUAACUACGUGCCAGCAGCCGCCGUAAUAC